GUAGGGUGCAAGCGUUAAUCGGAAUUACUGGGCGUAAAGCGUGCGCAGGCGGUUAUGCAAGACAGAUGUGAAAUCCCCGGGGGCUCAACCUGGGGAACUGCAUUUGUGACUGCAUGACUAGAGUACGGCAGAGGGAGAUGGAAUUCCGCGUGUAGCAGUGAAAUGCGUAGAUAUGCGGAGGAACACCGAUGGCGAAGGCAAUCUCCUGGGCCUGUACUGACGCUCAUGCACGAAAGCGUGGGGAGCAAACAGGAUUAGAUACCCUGGUAGUCCACGCCCUAAACGAUGUCAACUGGUUGUUGGACGGCUUGCUGUUCAGUAACGAAGCUAACGCGUGAAGUUGACCGCCUGGGGAGUACGGCCGCAAAGGUUG
rnacentral:rRNA from 1 species